CGUGACAAGACUGAUUCUCUCUCUCCCCCAAAAAAGCCCCAAUCCCUCCUCCAUCAAGCCCCAAAAUCAACCAACUCCGACGAGCUCCCAAAUCUGCCAUCUCCAACGACUUGAUUUCUCCGACGAGCUCCACAACAUGUUUCUAUAAACAACUACGACGUCACUAGUCCGAUUUCUCCGAUGACUUCACCAACUCCGACGAGCUCCAACCGCAACUCCAAUCGGCCAUCAACCAGUUCCGCCUCUCCACCACGAACCCCAAUCGAGCUCGUUCUCUAGAUCCCCCAACUCAGAAUGAAGAAUCUGCUGCUGAAGAGCUGGCAUUUGAACAUGACAUAUCUGAAGAAUCUGCUGCAGAAUGAAGAAUCUGCUGCUAAAGAAUCUGCUACAGAAUGAAGAGCUGAUUUGUCUUUAAUGUGUUGUCAUUUGAUAUUAUUUAAUCUGCAGAAUGAAGAGCAGAAUGAAGAGCUGAUUUGUGUUUAAUCUGCUGGAGAAGCUGUUUAAUAUUAUUUGAACAAUGUGUGUUUAAUGUGUUGUCAUUUGAACAUGACAUAUCUGAUUUGUUACGGUGUGUUAUUUAUGGUUUAGAACCUGUAAGUUUUGGGAAUCUGCUGCUGAAGAGCAGGCAUUUGUUUGUUUUGGAACCUGUAAGUUAUUUAUGGUUUAGAAUAUUUAACGCCCAGUUGAGUGGUAUUUUUCCUCAUCACCA